rnacentral:lncRNA from 1 species
GCUAGAUCUUGUGAGAAACUUUAUGUAUUGGUCAGUUAUAUUGGAGUAGUAGCUUGAAGUAACAUGUUGUUUUAUAGAGCUGGAAUUUAGUAACGUUUUGUAUUGGAAGUUAUAAUUGUGAACCUUCAAAUAUAUAUAUAUAUAUACAUGUACUUUUAUAAGAUUAAACAUGUGAACAUUAAGGAGACUUAGUUCAAUUCUAACAGUGACUUUAUGGUGGCAUAUAUACUAUAGCUAGUUCCCUAUAUUAACGGGCAAGAUGGAGUUAUACGAUCCCGGAUACGUAGAUCCGAAUUAAUGACAUAGUU